AAUCAACGCUGGCGGCGUGCCUCAGACAUGCAAGUCGAACGAUUAAAGCUCUCUUCGGAGAGUGUAUAGAGUGGCGCACGGGUGAGUAACACGUAAGUAAUCUACCCUCGAGUGGGGAAUAACGUCCGGAAACGGACGCUAAUACCGCAUAAUGCAGCGGCACCGCAAGGUGACAGUUGUUAAAGAUUUAUUGCUUGAGGAGGAGCUUGCGGCAGAUUAGCUAGUUGGUAAGGUAAUGGCUUACCAAGGCUACGAUCUGUAACCGGUCUAAGAGGACGGUCGGUCACACUGACACUGAAUAACGGGUCAGACUCCUACGGGAGGCAGCAGUCGGGAAUUUUGGGCAAUGGGCGAAAGUCUGACCCAGCAACGCCGCGUGAAGGAUGAAGUAUUUCGGUAUGUAAACUUCGAAAGAAUGGGAAGAAUCAAUGACGGUACCAUUUAUAAGGUCCGGCUAACUACGUGCCAGCCGCCGCGGUAAC
rnacentral:rRNA from 1 species